rnacentral:rRNA from 1 species
AGGGUUGCAUGGUCAAGUGAAUAAGCGCAUAUGGUGGAUGCCUUGGCAGUAAGAGGCGAUGAAGGACGUAGUAGCCUGCGAUAAGCUUCGGGGAGCUGGCAAACAAGCGAUGAUCCGGAGAUUUCCGAAUGGGGAAACCCAACCUUUCGAGGUUAUCGUAUACUGAAUUCAUAGGUAUACGAGGCGAACCUGGGGAACUGAAACAUCUAAGUACCCAGAGGAAAAGAAAUCAACCGAGAUUCCGUCAGUAGCGGCGAGCGAAAGCGGAACAGCCCAGUUACUAAAUCAUUAUUUGUUCUAGCAGAAUGUUCUGGAAAGUUCAGCCAUAGCGGGUGAUAGCCCCGUACGCGAAAGAGUAAAUAAUGUGGGUAACGAUGAGUAGGUCGGGACACGUGGUAUCUUGACUGAACAUGGGGGGACCAUCCUCCAAGGCUAAAUACUCCUUACUGACCGAUAGCGAACCAGUACCGUGAGGGAAAGGUGAAAAGAACCCCGGCGAGGGGAGUGAAAUAGAACCUGAAACCGUAUGCGUACAAGCAGUAGGAGCAUUUCUUCGGAAAUGUGACUGCGUACCUUUUGUAUAAUGGGUCAGCGACUUACUUGUUGUAGCGAGCUUAACCGUCUAGGGGAGGCGUAGGGAAACCGAGUCCGAAAUGGGCGUUUAGUUGCAACGAGUAGACCCGAAACCGAGCGAUCUAUCUAUGGCCAGGGUGAAGGUCAGGUAACACUGACUGGAGGCCCGAACCCACUAAUGUUGAAAAAUUAGGGGAUGAGCUGUGGAUAGGAGUGAAAGGCUAAUCAAGCUCGGAGAUAGCUGGUUCUCCUCGAAAGCUAUUUAGGUAGCGCCUCGUGUAUGACUCUUGGGGGUAGAGCACUGUUUCGGCUAGGGGGCCAUCCCGGCCUACCAAACCGAGGCAAACUCCGAAUACCAAGAAGUUUUAGCACGGGAGACACACUGCGGGUGAUAAGGUCCGUGGUGGAAAGGGAAACAGCCCAGAUCGCCAGCUAAGGUCCCAAAAUCACAGUUAAGUGGAAAACGAUGUGGGAAGGCUCAGACAGCCAGGAGGUUGGCUUAGAAGCAGCCAUCCUUUAAAGAAAGCGUAAUAGCUCACUGGUCGAGUCGUCCUGCGCGGAAGAUUUAACGGGGCUCAAACUGUGUACCGAAGCUGCGGCAUCAGAAGACAGAUGACAGAUGACAGAUGACAGAUGACAGAAAUAUGAAAAAAGAAAUAUCUAGCUUUGAAGAUUUAGUGGUUUUUCAGAAAGCGUAUAAGCUUUCUUUAAAGCUUCAUAAACUAACUUUAAGUAUGCCUAAAGAAGAGCAAUAUGGAUUGGCAAGCCAAAUCCGUCAAGCAAGUAAAUCAAUUUGCGCGAAUAUUGCUGAAGGGUUUGGAAAGCAGAGUGUUUCUACGGCUGAAUUUAAGCGAUUUAUUUUAAUUGCAAUGGGUUCGGCAGAUGAGAUGCGUGUGUGGUUACGAUAUUGUUUUGAUUUAGGUUAUUUGAAUGAAAAAACCUGGGUAGACUUCCGCAAUAACUAUCAGGAUAUUGCGAAAAUGCUAAAGGGUUUGCACAAAAGCUGGAGUUAAUUUUUAUCUUUCUGUCCUCAGUCUUCUGCCAUCUGUCUUCUGAUGGGUAGAGGAGCGUUCUGUAAGCCUGUGAAGGUGAAUCGAGAGGUUUGCUGGAGGUAUCAGAAGUGCGAAUGCUGACAUAAGUAACGAUAAUGUGGGUGAAAAACCCACACGCCAAAAGUCUAAGGUUUCCUGCGCAACGUUAAUCGGCGCAGGGUGAGUCGGCCCCUAAGGCGAGGCAGAAAUGCGUAGUCGAUGGGAAACGGGUUAAUAUUCCCGUACUUUAUAAUACUGCGAUGGGAGGACGGAGAAGGCUAGGUCAGCCACCCGAUGGUUGUGGUGGUUUAAGUGUGUAGGAAGGGUUCUUUGGCAAAUCCGGGAACUCAAUUCCGAGACAUGAUGACGAAGUACGAACUUGUUCGUGCAAAGUGAUUGAUGCCACGCUUCCAGGAAAAGUCCCUAAGCUUCAGGUAUUGUAAAACCGUACUAUAAACCGACACAGGUGGACAGGUAGAGAAUACCAAGGCGCUUGAGAGAACUUGGGUGAAGGAACUAGGCAAAAUGGCACCGUAACUUCGGGAGAAGGUGCGCCCUUGGUAAGUGAAGGUCCUUGCGACUGGAGCUGAAAAGGGUUGCAGAUACCAGGUGGCUGCGACUGUUUACUAAAAACACAGCACUCUGCAAACUCGUAAGAGGACGUAUAGGGUGUGACGCCUGCCCGGUGCCGGAAGGUUAAGUGAUGGGGUUAGCCCUCGGGCGAAGCUCUUGAUCGAAGCCCCGGUAAACGGCGGCCGUAACUAUAAAUUAACCGUUGUAGUUACGUAAAUAAACUUGGCUAUAUGCUGGAAACUCCGAGUAUCCUCCAGUACUCAUCUCAACUAAAAUUGAGGUAGUAAAAAUCUGCGAGGUGCGGACAAUCAGCAGGAAAGACUAAUCUUUUUGAUUAGAAUCCUCAGAGACUAAUACGCCGAGCGUACUUAGAAAAAAUCCAUUCUAAGUGUGAUGAUAGAGUCCGAUCUCUAUAGCGAUAUAGAGGGUUUUCAAAAGAAACCUGUUAAUCAUUAUCCCAUGAUUAACAUAACGUCAAUAAACGGUCCUAAGGUAGCGAAAUUCCUUGUCGGGUAAAAAAUUGCCCCGCUAAACUGUAAAGUUUAGUGAUAAAGUCAGCUCAUAUCGGGGGAACCCUCCUGCUUUUUAGCAAAGGGCAAUCCCGAGGGAAGUCUUAAAUGACCCCGUAACGACUGAUCCGAAAGGUGAGGCACGCAUUUGUGUGCAAUACGCUGACUUCUUGCCCUUGGGUUUAUACUCAAGAAGUAAGUGACUAUGGAGAAUUUAUUUAUGUAUUUACAUUUAGAGCCAUGGUAUGUAAGUGGUUUAACAGAAGGAGAAGGGUGUUUUUCGAUAUCAUUUAACUUCAGAAAAAAGUUAAAAAUUGGUAUUGAAACAAGACCAUCUUUUUCCAUCACGUUAAAUCAAAGAGAUUUACCUCUCUUAAAAGAGAUACAUUCGUUUUUUGAAUGUGGAACAAUUAGAUUUUCACGAGGGGAUCGUACGUAUAAAUAUGAAGUCCGUUCCGUAAAAGAUCUUGUGAAGCGAAUAAUUCCACACUUCGAUAACUAUCCUCUUAGAGGAGGUAAACAAAAAGAUUUUCGAUAUUUUUCUGAAAUCUGUAAAAAAAUACAUACCAAUUUUCAUUUAAAUAAACAACAUUUAAUUGAAAUAAUAAAAAUGGCUUAUCUGAUGAAUCCAUCAGGUAAACGUAGGCAUGAAAUAAAUGAUCUCCUAAGGUUGCUUGGUGAGAAAAUGGUAUAGUCUACUCCCUAUGGAAACAUAGGAAAGAGUGAAGUUCCGACCUGCACGAAUGGCGUAACGAUAGCCACGCUGUCUCCACCCAAGACUCAGUGAAAUUGAAAUCGCUGUGAAGAUGCAGCGUACCCGCGGCUAGACGGAAAGACCCCGUGAACCUUUACUACAGCUUUACACUGAACUUUGAAUAUGCCUGUGUAGGAUAGGUGGGAGGCUUUGAAGCUGGAGCGCUAGCUCCAGUGGAGCCAACCUUGAAAUACCACCCUGGCGUGUUUGAGGUUCUAACCCUGUCCCGUAAUCCGGGUCGGGAACAGUGUAUGGUGGGUAGUUUGACUGGGGCGGUCUCCUCCAAAAGAGUAGCGGAGGAGUACAAAGGUACCCUCAGCACGGUCGGAAAUCGUGCAUUGUGUGCAAAGGCAUAAGGGUGCUUGACUGCGAGACUGACAAGUCGAGCAGGUACGAAAGUAGGUCUUAGUGAUCCGGUGGUCCUUUAUGGAAGGGCCAUCGCUCAACGGAUAAAAGGUACUCCGGGGAUAACAGGCUGAUACCACCCAAGAGUUCAUAUCGACGGUGGUGUUUGGCACCUCGAUGUCGGCUCAUCACAUCCUGGGGCUGUAGCCGGUCCCAAGGGUAUGGCUGUUCGCCAUUUAAAGUGGUACGUGAGCUGGGUUUAGAACGUCGUGAGACAGUUCGGUCCCUAUCUGCCGUGGGCGUUGGAGAUUUGAGAGGAGCUGCUCCUAGUACGAGAGGACCGGAGUGGACGUACCUCUGGUGUUCCGGUUGUCACGCCAGUGGCAUUGCCGGGUAGCUAAGUACGGACGGGAUAACCGCUGAAAGCAUCUAAGCGGGAAGCCCCCCUCAAGAUGAGAUCUCCCGGACCUUUAAGGUCCCUAAAGAUUCGUUGAAGACGACAACGUUGAUAGGCAGGGUGUGGAAGCUCAGUAAUGAGUGAAGCUAACCUGUACUAAUUAAUCGUGCGACUUGACUAUGUAACCCUAAAUGGUUUC